rnacentral:rRNA from 1 species
UACGUAGGGUGCAAGCGUUGUCCGGAAUUAUUGGGCGUAAAGAGCUCGUAGGCGGUUUGUUGCGUCGGCUGUGAAAUCCCGAGGCUCAACCUCGGGUCUGCAGUCGAUACGAGCAAACUAGAGCGUUGUCAGGGGGAGACUGGAAUUCCUGGUGUAGCGGUGAAAUGCGCAGAUAUCAGGAGGAACACCGGUGGCGAAGGCGGGUCUCUGGGCAACAACUGACGUGGAGGAGCGAAAAGCGUGGGGGAGCGAAACAGG